GUUCUUUGCCGGAUAGCUGCCCUUCGACAAGCUCAGGGUAAACUCCUGAUCUAAGUAGUGGGGAGGAAAGUCCGAACAUCCUUUGGCGCAAACCAAAGAAGGAGAUAGUGGCUAACAGCCACGCUUUACCGGAGAAAUUCGGUAGGGACGGAGAGUGCAACAGAAAAUAUACAGCCGCCUCGCCCCUAAAGGGUAGGGAGGCAAUGGUGAAAUCGUGCGGUAAGAGCGCACGUCGUGCCAUCGUGAGAUGGCAAGGUUGAAAACACCUAUCCGAUGCAACCUCGUAAUAGAGGGCUAGAACCCGAGAGUAAUCGAGGGUCCAGAUAGAUGGCUAUCUCCGCUGAUGAGGCGGAACAAAAUUCGGCUUAUAGGCAGAGAACCAAA
rnacentral:RNase_P_RNA from 4 species